UUUACCUACGGGGGGCAGCAGUGAGGAAUAUUGGUCAAUGGGAGAGAUCCUGAACCAGCCAAGCCGCGUGAGGGAAGACGGCCCUAUGGGUUGUAAACCUCUUUUGUCGGAGAACAAAACCCGGGACGUGUCCCGGACUGCGUGUAUCCGAAGAAAAAGCAUCGGCUAACUCCGUGCCAGCAGCCGCGGUAAUACGGAGGAUGCGAGCGUUAUCCGGAUUUAUUGGGUUUAAAGGGUGCGCAGGCGGAAUGUCAAGUCAGCGGUAAAAUUUCGGGGCUCAACCCCGUCGUGCCGUUGAAACUGGC
rnacentral:rRNA from 1 species